UCAUUCCUCUCUACUUGAGCCAACAUAAGAAAAAUCUCUCUCUCUCUCUCUCUAGGAUUGGCUCCAAAGUGUAGAGUUUGCUAGAGAAAAGCUUGCUUAAAAGUGAAGCUUUCUUUUUCUUCACCAUUGGCUGGAAGAGAGCUUGGGUUUGAGAGGUAAACGAACGCGUUGGCGAAGUCGGUUCGGCGAUUCGUUGAGCCUACGCGAAGUUAUUAAAGAAACGGACAUUUAGGCUUCGUUUCCGCCUGGAGGGCCGAGGCGACGUCGUAAAAUCAUGGAAUCGGAUUUGAGGCACCGUAACAACAAAACAAAGACCCUUUUUGCCCGAGGCUGCGAAGCGAUGCACGGUCGGUGCGCAAUUGCAAGUUCCGGCGGAACCGAGCACCGGAUGCGGCGGGAGGCCGAUUGCAAGUAUCGACAAGCAAUCGAAAUGCACUAACAGGUUUGCACGUGAGCGGCGCGGCGGCGUAAGGAGAGGGCGUAUCUCCGUAGAUAGCGCCUUACCACCGAGACCAGAGAUAGCAGUACCCCAAAGUGGCCUAGCUUAGGGGUUAGAGAUGUAAGAAAUAAACUUGUAAUAAUUAUGAUUGUAUUUGGAAGUUGAGGAUGUAUAGCAAAUAAUGUAAUAUAAAUGUGAAUGCUUGUAAUAGCAUAGGAUUUAUAUUG